CCCCUGCUGGCUCAGUUGGUAGAGCCUGUGACUCUUGAUCUCGAGGUUGUGAGUUCGAGCCCCACGUUGGGGG
rnacentral:tRNA from 1 species